rnacentral:rRNA from 1 species
UACGUAGGGGGCAAGCGUUGUCCGGAAUCAUUGGGCGUAAAGCGCGUGUAGGCGGUCCGGUAAGUCCGCUGUGAAAGUCGGGGGCUCAACCCUCGGAUGCCGGUGGAUACUGUCGGGCUUGAGUACGGAAGAGGCGAGUGGAAUUCCUGGUGUAGCGGUGAAAUGCGCAGAUAUCAGGAGGAACACCAAUUGCGAAGGCAGCUCGCUGGGACGUUACUGACGCUGAGACGCGAAAGCCAGGGGAGCGAACGGG